GACGAACGCUGGCGGCGUGCUUAACACAUCCAAGUCGAACGGUAAGGCCCUUCGGGGUACACGAGUGGCGAACGGGUGAGUAACACGUGGGUGAUCUGCCCUGCACUUCGGGAUAAGCCUGGGAAACUGGGUCUAAUACCGGAUAGGACCACUGCCUGCAUGGGUGGUGGUGGAAAGCUUUUGCGGUGUGGGAUGGGCCUGCGGCCUAUCAGCUUGUUGGUGGGGUGAUGGCCUACCAAGGCGACGACGGGUAGCCGGCCUGGGAGGGCGACCGGCCACACUGGGGAUGGGAUACAGCCCGGACUCCUACGGGAGGCAGCAGUGGGGAAUAUUGCACAAUGGGCGCAAGCCUGAUGCAGCGACGCCGCGUGAGGGAUGACGGCCUUCGGGUUGUAAACCUCUUUCAGCACCGACGAAGCGCAAGUGACGGUAGGUGCAGAAGAAGGACCGGCCAACUACGUGCCAGCAGCCGCAGUAA
rnacentral:rRNA from 1 species